rnacentral:rRNA from 1 species
GCUAACUCCGUGCCAGCAGCCGCGGUAAUACGGAGGGUGCGAGCGUUAAUCGGAAUUACUGGGCGUAAAGCGUGCGUAGGCGGUUAUUUAAGUCAGAUGUGAAAGCCCCGGGCUUAACCUGGGAACUGCAUUUGAUACUGGGUAACUAGAGUUUAGUAGAGGAGAGUGGAAUUUCAGGUGUAGCGGUGAAAUGCGUAGAGAUCUGAAGGAACACCAGUGGCGAAGGCGACUCUCUGGACUAAAACUGACGCUGAGGUACGAAAGCGUGGGUAGCAAACAGGAUUAGAUACCCGGGUAGUC